rnacentral:sRNA from 1 species
AUUAACUGUGUAUAAAAGACCAAGUUUUCUACAGCACAGCCUGUAUUUAACUUCUCUAUGCAGAGGAACGUUUUGUCAACUACUUUGAGGGAUAAUUGGAGGCCUCUUUGUGUGGAUUUUACCCACCCAUACCACAAAUAGGAUCACAUUUCAACUAGAAAACAGUGUCCAAUGAAGCAUGAAGGAACAGAUGAGGAUUUUGAUUCUAACGAACACACAAAACCACACAGCUGGUGUUGACAAUAUUCAUGGAGAAAAUUUGUUGUUGAUUUUUUAGUUUGUGCAUAAUAAACUACCC